rnacentral:tRNA from 1 species
GACCGGGUAGCUCAGUAGCUUAGAGCGUAGUGCUAAUAACACUAAGAUAGUGGGUUCGACCUCCAUUCUGGCCA